UGUGUUGAGAGGAGUCACUGGAGGAUUCAGUGGUAAACUCUGUCUCAUUCUCUCUACGUCUCUGCGAUGAUCUGUCAUUCUCAAACGCUCCUGAGAGAAAACACAGCGUGAACACAGUUUGGAAAGUUCUUCUUUUCUUCCUGAGUCUUUCCUCUGAACGGGAGCUGAACUUGGUUUCUUCUUGGAGCUAAACAGGUUUUGUAUAGCGUUUCUCACCUCAUCUGUAUUCACAGCCUCUUCAGCCAGUUUAGUGAAGAAAUCAUCAUCUAACAUCGACCUGAAACACAACACACACAGUUAUGAUAAGAGCUGUGAUUGAGAAAUACUGAAGAUGCUUUAGCUCUGUUUACUGCCUCACUUCAUCUCUCAGACUGCUGGUGUUUAUUAAGAUGCUUCGUGACGAACAUCUAUAUGUGCUUAUGCACGUUGUCCAACACAAGCUACAUGUAUAAAAAACCUGACUGAAGGUCAAAGCAAGUGUUUCCCAUGAAUGAUGUGGUCACUAUUAACCAAUCAACAUUCAGCUGCAUGUGUACAGUAGCGCUUACCUCUUCCCACUGCGUGAUGCGAGGAUGCCUGCAGGUCUGCUGGAUCCGGCAGUUGGAGAUCGGACCUUGACCGGGCCUGUUGAACACAGAAACUUACUUUAAAAUAAUUCAGCAUAUUUAAGGAGAACUGACAUUUAUAUCCAGAAAGAGACUCAUACCAUCAUCAUUAUCAUCUCCCAGAAGAUCUCCUAACACAUCAUCUAUAGAGCCUGAGAGAAAGACACAAUUACAGUUAAUUCAAUAAAAUACUAGCAUUAGAGAUAUAUUUAGUACAAGACUUACCUCGAAGCCCCUUUUUCUGUUUUGAACUCUGCAAAAGAUGAAUAUGAUCAAACUUCAAUUUAUCAGACUUUACAACAACAACGUUAUGCAUGCUAAAUAGCAAUAGCACUGUAUAACUGCACACUGUUCCCCAAAACAAGUAAGUACUAAUAAUACAUACUAACCUGCACAUUACUUAUUACAUGUUUAUGUCAACUGGGCUACGAUUUAGUUUAAGGACACAAUUGAUCAAUCAUAAAUUAACCUUUCAGCUAACUUACCAACCCAUUACUGUAAAUUAUUACUUGUUUUGUAUGCAAUAUGUUACAGUGUACUUCAUUUUGUUAUUGAUCUGUAUUAUGCACUUAUGUUAUACUUGAUAAAAACAAGGAA